UACGUAGGGUGCGAGCGUUGUCCGGAAUUACUGGGCGUAAAGAGCUCGUAGGUGGUUUGUCGCGUUGUCCGUGAAAACUCACAACUCAAUUGUGGGCGUGCGGGCGAUACGGGCAGACUGGAGUACUGCAGGGGAGACUGGAAUUCCUGGUGUAGCGGUGGAAUGCGCAGAUAUCAGGAGGAACACCGGUGGCGAAGGCGGGUCUCUGGGCAGUAACUGACGCUGAGGAGCGAAGGCUGGGGUAGCGAACAGG
rnacentral:rRNA from 1 species